UUUAAUUUCUUUAAUAAUUUUAUUAUUAUAAAUUUUUAAAUUAAUUUAAAAAUAAAAGUUAAUAAAUUAAAUUAAAUGAUUUUAAAAAAAUUAAUUUAAUUAAUAAUUAAAUUUAAGAAAAAUUUUUUUUUUUUACCUUUUGUAUCAGGAUUAAUUAAAAAAAUUCAUUAAAAUUUAAUUUCUCGAAUUUAAAAAAUUUAAAUAAUUACUUUUAUUAAUAUAAAAAUAUUAAAUAAAAUAAUUUUUUAGAAACAAAAAAUUAAUCAAUUUUAAAAUUAUCUAGUUAUUUAUGAAAUAAAUUUAAUUUAAAUAUAAUUUUUAAAUAAUAUUUAUUAUUAUUAAAUUAAAAAAUUAUAUCAAUAAUUUUAGGAAUAAACUUAAAAUUAUUUUUAAAAAUUUUUUUAAAAGAAAAUAAUAUAAAGAUAAAAUUUUUUUUAUUAGAAAAAAUUUAAUAAUUUAAUUAAUAUUGAAAAAUAAAUUAUUUAAAAAAAAUUUUAAAAAUUUAAUAAAUAAUUUAAUUAAAUUUUAAUUUUAAAAAAAUAAUGAUUAAAUUAGUAAUAAUAUUAUAAAUUAAUAUAUUUUAUUUAUUAAAAUUAAAUUUAAUAAACUCGGCAAAAUUUAUAUUCACCUGUUUAACAAAAACAUGUCUUAUUGAAAAUAAUAUUAAGUCAAAUCUGCUCAAUGAAAAAUUAAAUAGCUGCAGUAUUUAUAACUGUACAAAGGUAGCAUAAUAAUUAGUUUUUUAAUUAAAAACUAGAAUGAAAGAUUUAAUGAAAUAUAAACUGUCUCAAAUUUAAAAAAUAAAUUUUUUUUUUAAAUAAAAAAAUUUAAAUAAAAUUUAAAGACGAGAAGACCCUAUAGAAUUUUUAUUAUAAUUUUAUAAUAAAUAAAUUUAUAAUUUUAAUUGGGGAAAUUUUAAAAUUUAAAUAAUUUUUAAUUAAAUAAACAAUUAUUUUUGUAUAAAAUAUUUUUUUUAAAAAAAUAAAUUAAAUUACCUUAGGGAUAACAGCAUAAUUUUUUUAAAAAGUUCAAAUUUAUAAAAAAGUUUAUGACCUCGAUGUUGAAUUAAGAUAAAAUUUUUUGUAAAAAAAAUAUUUUUUAAGUCUGUUCGACU
rnacentral:rRNA from 1 species